rnacentral:lncRNA from 1 species
CGGUAUUACGAUAAAAUGUUAAUAAAAUUUUGGGUGUAUCUGAACGUUUAACAAGUGUAACUAUAAAAGCUCUGAAUCAAAUUGAAUAACGAAAUGACAACGUAAUAAACAACACUAUAAGAUAUUGGAUGAUGCAUUUCACUUGUACCAGUUGAGGAGAGGUGAAAUUACAUAGCGAAGCACUAAAGCUGUAAAACAGUAUUUACAUGAUAAAAACCAAACUCUCAGCACACUUUAGAGUGAAUAAAUGGUUAUGGUAGCAGAAGCCAAUAUAUAUGCAUGUGUAUAGAUUAGAUACUAUUCAUAUUAGAGAGUGGAUGAAGUUCUUGACUUCUGAAUCUUAUCAUCGUCUGAAGGAGGUGAUGACUGUGCUGCGUGGUAAGAUGAAGAAACAAGUUGUGCUAAAGCAGGAACUGCCCCACCUGCAGUUUUUCAAAAGACAUUGUUAUCAAUUCAUCAACAUAGUAAAUCCAAUGUUUUCAAUCGCAUAUCCAAGGAAAUAGCAGUUUGUUCAAAUUCCGUUACUAUGCUAUAAUGUUAUAGCCUCUAUUUGAAAACACUUUGUAGUUUGUACUAAAUUUUGCAUCCCAGAACAAUAGUGGUUUGUUAAAAUUCUGCUACCUAUUGAAAAGUUUCAGACUUAUUUGUG